rnacentral:sRNA from 1 species
AUAAUAUACAUAUGUAUAAAUUAAAGUUAUACAUACAUCAGAGCUAGCUAGCCCCAACCAGCAUCAUUGCAUUGGUUUUGCUUAUUGCUAUAAACAAUAUAUAUGUACAUAGAAAGUCAUUCAUUUUGUUGCCUUACAUUACACUGAUGAAAUUAAACUUGAUUUUACAUGUAGAAUGGAAUGAACAAGGAUGAAUCGAAUUUAGCUGAACUGAACUGCUUAGCACUUAAUUACAGAAGCUCUAUCUAUAUCACAUCAAGGAGCAAUUCUCAUAAAGGUAGCAUCAAUGUUUUGAGUAGAGUUGAUAAGUGACAGGAACACAUAGGCCUGAGCACUUGACAAGCCAUAUUUCAUUUCAUAGAACUAAUGAGGAGAUUCCAAGCUGGAAAGAGCCGGGUUUGGCGGAUCCUGUCCUCUGAGAGAAGCCAGAGACAGACACACACAUGGAGAUGGGGGUUGUUGCAUUGCAUAUCUGAAGCUUUCUAGUCCCUAAAUUCAAAUCCUGAAUGUCAUAAAAAAUCUCAUCUGGUUUUCUUUUGAAGAUUAACAAGGAGAUUAAAUGAAAAUAACUACACUCAUAAAUGAAGAGAAAGGAAUAUAUUGGGGAAAAAUUACUUCAAGUAGUACAUCUAAAGGUCCCCAUCUCACUAUUCAUCUUGCCCCCCUCUAAUAUUGAUUUUUCCCAAAUCACUCACUACUUUCCUUAAAGAGAAACGAAGACUUUUAAAAUGAAAAUGGGAAUAAUAUCAUAGAGAUUAAUGUUCAAAAAAUUUAAGAGAAAAAGGAGGAAAAAAAAAACUAGUUAUUGUAAAUCCCAACACAAUGAUAAUGUUGAAGAAGCCUAUUGGCUUCCCUGAGACCACUGAAGUAAGCUCCAUGAGUUGUGGAAUAAUGAGUUCUGUGAGUUGCUUCCCCUGCAAACAAAAUUUGAAGUGGAGAAGAAGCAGAAGGCUGACAACUGCUAUCUUUUGGCAAUGGCUCGGCCAUUGCAUCUAAAUCAUCACCACUUGACCCUACAGCAACAUAACUGUAUGAGCCUAAAAACAAGGGAUCAGUUCCCCAUUUGCUCUUCAAGACCUUACUGAACUUCACCUCAUUUUCUUGAGAUCUCUCCUCAGAAUUGGCAUUCCCAUUGCACAAUCUAUGUGAACUGGAACCCUUUUGCCACUGAGAAUGCUGUAGAAAGCACGAGACUGUGGAUGAAACUCCAUUUAUGAUCUCCUCAUCUUUGAGUGACUCAAGUGCUAGUGCUUCUUCCCCCACAAACCAAGACAAGAGGACACUCGAAUUGUUGUAUAUGGGGAAAAGGGUGGCUGUCCUCCUCAUCCACCAGGGUAUUUUCUUGUGCCUCGUUUCAGAUUGAGGUGAAUGGAAAACCAUUUGCAGGAAAGGGAACCCCUUGUCGGAGUCAUCAUUUACAUGUUCAUGUUGGUAUUCAUGUUUCCCUCCUCCAUGUUUUGGACUUAAUUGCAUAAACAACUUGUUAACAACCCCAAAGCCAAGCCUUGAAAUUGCCUCAGUUUUGGAAGAGGGAAGAGGAGGACAGAACAUACCUGAAUCAUCACGAAUAGCAGAUUUUAACACUCCCAGUGAAACUGUGACAAUGACAUGAUCAGCGGACAUAACGGAGCCAUCACAAAAAUGCAGCUUCACAGGCUUAGAAGAACAACAGCCAUUUUCCAAACCCUUCCUCUCAUCAAGCUGCCACUCAAUCCUUAUGACUUUUCUACCUAACUGAAUCAAACCAGGUGGCAACACAGAAGCUAAGGACUCAAUUAUGCUCAAGUACCCUUUAGCAAUUGUGAUUUCUUCACCUGGGAACAUUCUGUACUCGCUUUCAGCACUAUAAUCCAGUGUCAAGAGGUCAUCAGCUGAUGUAUAGGUCCUCUGGUUGUUCUCAUGCAUUCCAAAUAUUCCUUCCUCAAGUAACUUCCUGCUCCACUCCCCACACCCUUUGACCUCCUCUUGCUCCUUUGAAAUCUGGUAAGUCUCUAGGCCUUGUCUCAGAAAAGAGCCAAUACUAAGGUUGUUGUUACCAGACCUGUUGGAAGCAACCUUAGCAGCCAAAGCAGCCAGCUUGUGAUAACUUUCAAGUUCACCCUUUGCAGUGGCUUCAUUGAGCUUCCCUUGAGAAUAUUCCAUGAGGUUGUUGAAGAGCUUUGUAAUGGGGUCAACAAUGGAAGGGUGGAGGUGGAAGCCACCUUCAGCAAUGGUGAUGGCCUCAUCAGUGUUCCCAUCCAUGCACUCCCAAGGUUGGUCAGAGCGGAGUGAGUGGAUUUCUUGAGCAAUUUUGUGAAUUGGACUGCCUCCAAUUCCAUGGAUCCAUGUAGCACCCAUCUCAAUACGGUCACCACCAAACUCUGAGGUGUUGAUUCUGCCACCAAUCCUGCUUCCACCCUCCACAACACAUAGCUCAAAAAAGUCCUUUGAGGCAGUGGCAGUGUAGAGCUUGUUGGCAGCUGUGAGGCCUGCCAUUCCUGCUCCAAUUAUCACUAUCCGUGGCUUCUUCACCACCAUUGUUACUUCACAGACUACUCACAAGAUUAGAAGAUAGCUUUGCUUUUCACUCUUUCACAACAGGCAAAGCAAAACAACAAAACCAAUCACACACGGGGAGAAAUAAACAAGACACAGAGUGGUACAACAACACACAAGUGGUGUGAACUGUGAAGGAAUAUUACACCAAUCAGUAGACGAUUUUAUCAAGG